ACGAAGGCUUCGGCCUUAGUGGCGCACGGGUGCGUAACGCGUGGGAAUCUGCCCCUCGGUUCGGAAUAACAGCGAGAAAUUGCUGCUAAUACCGGAUAAUGACGUAAGUCCAAAGAUUUAUCGCCGAGGGAUGAGCCCGCGUAGGAUUAGCUAGUUGGUGUGGUAAAAGCGCACCAAGGCGACGAUCCUUAGCUGGUCUGAGAGGAUGAUCAGCCACACUGGGACUGAGACACGGCCCAGACUCCUACGGGAGGCAGCAGUGGGGAAUAUUGGACAAUGGGCGAAAGCCUGAUCCAGCAAUGCCGCGUGAGUGAUGAAGGCCUUAGGGUUGUAAAGCUCUUUUACCCGGGAUGAUAAUGACAGUACCGGGAGAAUAAGCUCCGGCUAACUCCGUGCCAGCAGCCGCGGUAAUACGGAGGGAGCUAGCGUUAUUCGGAAUUACUGGGCGUAAAGCGCACGUAGGCGGCUUUGUAAGUUAGAGGUGAAAGCCUGGAGCUCAACUCCAGAAUUGCCUUUAAGACUGCAUCGCUUGAAUCCAGGAGAGGUGAGUGGAAUUCCGAGUGUAGAGGUGAAAUUCGUAGAUAUUCGGAAGAACACCAGUGGCGAAGGCGGCUCACUGGACUGGUAUGACGCUGA
rnacentral:rRNA from 1 species